CAAAAAAAAAAACAGGAAACAAGGAAUAGAACAAUUGUACUCCUUGCUUCUUCUUUUAUGGUGUUGUUUGUUUGCUUC
rnacentral:ribozyme from 1 species